rnacentral:tRNA from 1 species
GAGGGUACAGCUCAGUGGUAGAGUGCAUGCUUAGCAUACAUGAUGUCCUGGGUUCAAUCCCCAGUACCUCCC